AUGGUUCAUACUAUUAUUUAAACAGAAAAUUACUAUUUUUACAACAAAAAUUAAAUUAAAUUAAAAAUUAAUAUGUUUACGUUAUCUCAUUCACAGGAUUAGGAUUCCAUAUUGACUCGUCUCUAGCAACACAUUAGGAAAUCUAGAACAUUCUACAAGUGCCUGGAGAUAUCAGUCGAUUUGAUACCAGUUUUUGCAUAUACUUGUACCGGUUGAUUCUUGAAAUUACACAUGAACGUUUUCUUGAAAUUACCGACUUGUUCUGUAAGAAAGAAAAAAAAGAAAAAGAAACAGAGCGAGCAAUUUGAUUAAGUGAUUAAGAAACAGAGGAGAAGGAGCUUUUGAUGUGUUGGGGACGUUAUUGAUGGAAUACUUUCCCUCUCCAGUCUAAAUUCAUGCAUGACCGAGUUGGUUUUUUCUUCUCUUGGAGCCCUUCCUUUGUAGAAAUUAAAACCAAAGUUUUCUUCAUCUCUACAAGCUUACGAGUUACGAGGCAGAUUCAUCAACAUAUUCAAAAAUAAAAUUAAACAAAAAUCAUUCAUCAACAUAUACAAUAAUAACAUUAAACGAAGAACAAGAAAACAUAACACUUACAAGGCAGAUCUCAAGGCUCAACCUUGUUCAAAUCAACCUCCCAAAUUGUUGUAGCUGAAAAGUUGCUGUAACAAACCUUUGGGGACAGGUAAUAUAUGAGUUAUUAGCUCUUCAUCUCUCGGUACAUACUGGUUCCGUACCGUAUGUACCCAACUUCCAAAACACCGUCGCUAUCCAAAUCGAUAUCGAAUAACCGGUAUAUAUUUAGCCCAAAUAUCGAAAAAAAUGCCCAUCCCUUAGAUUUUGGUGUAUAGAACAUGGAAACAUUCUUGCAUGUUUUAUGUUAGUGGGUUAGGUAGAAAGAGAACGAUGGAAAAUGUGCAAGAGGUAUAUAUAUUUCCCCAAUGUUGCUAACACAGACGCACCCAACUGAGAGAGAAAAGAGAAAGGGUGGGUGAAACUAAUCCUAUUCGAGAGAGGAUGGAAAAGAUAGAAAUCCCAUCAUCCGAGAGAGGAUGGAAGAGAGAGUAAUCUCAUUCAGGAGAAGGAUGGGGGUUCACAUGGUUAUUGUAUUGAGGUAAUUUGAGUGUGUAUUCAAAUUAAGAUAUAUUUGUAUUCUCUUAGUUUAUUAGUUUAUUAUAGUAAAUUUUUUGAAUAUCUUUCCGUAAUUUUUACCUUUUAAUUUUAGAAAAAAUUUCACGUAAAAAUAUUGAUGUCUUAUGCUUAGUUAUUUUGGUAUCUCAUUAUUUAUUAUUAUUUUGGUGAAACUAUAAAUUUAAUUUAUUUGGCAAUAAUUUAUUGUUUAAUUUAUCAACAAGUAUUUAAGAGAUAAUUUUUCCCAACAUUUAGUUCAUUAUGUAUCCAAAUAAUAAGUCAUAAUCCAAGGUGACUUAAUCACACAGUAUAUAAUAAUUACGACUUAUAUCUAUCUUUAGGAGAAGGAGAAGAAUUACUAAUUUAUCUUUACUUUCUAUCAACCCUUACUUUUUUUUCCACUAUGUUUUAACAUCACAAAAUGUGUAUACUAAACAUCACAAAAUGUGUAAACUUAGACCACUAGUAAUAAUAAUAGUCAUCAGCGUUCUCUAACACUAUUAGAAUGUAAUAAAUCUAGGGAUCUAGGGCUUUACACUAUUAUAAUAUAGUAAAUUUAGGGUUUAGGGGGACUAGGGGAGCUUGUAAAAAGGACUAGUAGGAAGAAGUUAGGACAACACAAUGUUAUUAUCACAUAAAAAAAUGUCGCAUAAUUCUCACAUACACACAUGUGUAUUGUGGGCCCCCGCCUGACAUGUGAGACUCACAAUAUGUAUAUGUGUGUAUGUGAGUAUUAUGUGACUACUUUUAAUUUCUGACGCGUUUGCUGAAAGGAAUAGACAAAUGAGCCUUUUACCACUAGCCACUAGGCGAUCUUUGUCCAUCAUAUAUAACAUGAUUCUUAUUAUUGGUUAUGUAUUAUUUGAACUUGUAAGUAUUAAACUCUUUAAGAUUUUACCUCGUCACUUGACCGUCCAUAAAUGAAACCAUUCCUGCUAAGAUUUUUGGAAUCCAAGCGGCUAUAACCUAAGUCAUCAUUUUUUCGCAUUCUUGCAAAUAAUUUGCCCAACGGUCAUUUUCGUUACAAAAAUUAUACCUGCCAGUUCGAAAUUUGAUUUUAACAUAAUCAACUAUUAUUAAACCUUAAAACAAACUUAAGUAUGAUGUAAUGUCUCAUUCUGUAACAUCUAAAACAAAAGAUCAAAUCCCAAUCUAGAAAGACUCGUGCCCUAAACAGGUGGUGUUGAACAUUAUUACCACAACUUCAAAUAGAGCACUUUCAGUUUUACAGUGGCCAUCAACUAGUACGAUUUGCAUUCUACACAAUUUGGCUUACUUUUUGUCAAUUAUUAUUUCCUAAUAAUAAAUUUUCUCCUAAAACUUUAACAUUGGGAAAAAAAAAUUCAUCCAAAAAGGUCCUAGUUUGUGAAAUUAAACUUUAAUACUAAAAAAAUGUCGAGAAAAAGUAGGAAGUACAAGAAAUACACACAAUGAGUGGAAAUAACAAUCUACAGGUUUCUAGAGAGAGCAGAUCCUCUGUCCCCUCACUUAAAUUUUGACACAUGUCUUUUUAUUUAAUUUUAAAAUUAAUUAGUAUUAAGUAAGAGAUUAGGUGUCAACAUUUAAGUGGAGGGACACAAGGGACAGAAAAAUUGGGGACAGAGGAUCUGCUCUUGUUUCUAGUAGAACUGAGCAAAAAACGGGUAUAACCGAAUUAUCGAACCGAACCGAAAUAAUUUAACCGAAAUUUUCUGAUAAUUCGGUUAUUUUCAAUAUUUCGGUUAUAUCCGAAUUUUUUUACGAUUUUCGGUUAGUUUGUAUGGGUUUUACUUUUGGGUUAUUCGGUUAAACCGAAUAACCGAACAACACUUUACUAAAUUCUCAGCGAGUCAGCAUUUCAGCCCAUUCAAUAUUCAUUACUAAUUUAGCACUUUACUAAAUUCUCGAAGACUCCAAGUCUAAGUCUCUCAGAUUCUGUUUUCCAUCCGCUUAGACUCGAACUCUCAGACCUCAAUCUCAGUCUCUCAGAUCAGAUCUUUGAUCUCUCUCAUCUCAAGUCUCAAGUCUCGAUUGUCUCGUUUUCUCGAACUCUCAGUCUCAGAGUCUCAAAUUUGAGAUCUCUCAAGCCUCAAGUCUCGAACUGCCAAGUCUUUUAGAUGGAAAACAAACUGCUUUCAAACACAAUGGCUGUGACUGUGAGAACUGAGAAGUCAGGUUAGCAGCAGUUGUUGCCAUAUGCUAAUGUGUUGGCUGAAAUAAUACUAUAUAUCUCUUGGAAUCGAGUUUGAAUCUUUCUUUGUUUUCUUUCCAGCAUGGCAGUAAAGACAAACUCAACAACAGCAACAGCAAAUACUCAACAGCAGGAACACUGUGCUCAACACUCAACAAGUAUUAU
rnacentral:lncRNA from 1 species